rnacentral:lncRNA from 1 species
ACUAGCUGUCAACUUGAUGUCAAUGUUCCACCUUUUCCAUCCUGGCUUGGGACUGGCAUUUGCAUGUUUGUUAGGUGUUGGUAGGAUUAUAAUUUAUUACCAUCAGCACUUUGUAUAACAUUUACAGUUUUUCAGAAAAACUGCAUUCCUUCUCUAAGGUCUGUAUCUUAAGUUUAGGUUGUCUCAGCAUAAAAAAAAUGACUCCCAGAGAAUAAUAUAUAAUAUUCUUUAAGCAGGCAUGGUUGAGUGCUGCUUUUGCUACUGCAGUCAAAUUGAGUUUGUGGUUAUUGUGGUCCUAAUUAAUGGUCUCUGGGACUUGAGGACAGACUUCAUCUGUGAAUGGCUGAGGAGGCUACCAUGGUAAUGGUGGAUCCCUUAGGCAUAUUAGUUGGUGAUAGUUAUGAGAGCAGUUGCAAUAAGCUAUAAUGGGCGGUGUGUUCAGUAGUUGAUUAUUGAUGAUCGCUAUUUACUUGUAGUAAUUUAUGGAAAUUGGAGUAAUUUGUGGCAGAUCACAGUCUGCGAGUUCUGGUUCCAGUGGUGAUGGCUGUUGGUUCUCUCAACAAUUAAGAUCUCAGACCUUGGUGGCAUUGACUGAUUAAGGAAUGAAGAGACAACCGUCGUGAGGUAAGACUAAAGUUGUGUUAUUGGUUGCAUUUGUUUUAGAAGGUAAUAUGACAAUCGAUGGCGGGUGGUAUUGACAACCAACAAUGAAAGUAUUGGGUGGUAGUGGUCAGUGCCUGCAGCUAUAGUAGCCAGAGAAUGGUCACAUGUGGUAUCAGAUGGUUGUAGUAUAUAGGUUCAUGACGGUGGUUGUGAGUGGUUAAGGAAAGAAGAGGUCAGGAAACGUAGAGUUGAUCCAGGGUAGUGGUGACCAGCUUAGUGAUUAGUAAACUAAGGGUUCUAGAGGUUGAUAUUGGGACAAGACUGU